AGAGAAGAUUGAGACGACAUGGUU
rnacentral:siRNA from 1 species